ensembl:lncRNA
CGAUAAUCAAAACCCACCCCUAAUCAAGAACUUGCAAAGUAAAAACAUGAUCAAUGUAAGGUAGCCCUUUUGUUAUUUACAGUUAACAAGAGGAUUAGUGUUACUGUGCGCUGGCUGAGUCUGUUUCUUUUCUUAGAAAUAGUUUCUCCUGCCCUGGAGAAAAUCCACUUGCAUGUGUAACAAGUGUCACCUGGCAGUUUGUUGCUCUCUGCCAGGUGAUUGGCUGAAGAGCUGUGAAAAGGUAGUGGGUGUGUGGGGUGAAGUCAGCGCUCUUCUGUGGAAAAAACCAGAGGCAAUUAAUUCACUCAGGUGCGAGUGGGUCUACUGUCGUGUGACCACGAAUUUUAAUAGAAGAAUUGAUCAAGCCCUAGAUCGACUGCGCGCAGGGAAACUGAUCAAUAUUCUGUGCUGUCUCUGCUGUCCUUUUUUUGUUCUUUUGAUUGAUUUGUAAUUUUGUUUUGGUUAGUCCGUCCAGCCGUAGAGGCGGUUAUUGAUUGAGAGUAAGUUUUGUAAGGGCGGACUAACCUCUCUUUUGUUUUUUUAUUUUAAUUGUUUGUGCCACUUCCCUUUAUCUCUCAGAUCACAGGCCAUACAUAGCACUGAUGCCCAGCUACGCUGAGACCCGAAUUGUUUGCAGUGUGUGCCACGAUUGCAGUGUCACUAAGCGGGGUGUGACGGGUUGUAGUGUUAUUUCGCACAGUUUGUGUGGUAAGUCUCAUGUGCAGCUGGGAUAUCAGCAGGAUGUGUUGUAAGUCCUGUCUGGAAACGACUGGGAAUUUGUAUGUUUAACUUAUGUAAUAAAUAAAUGAUCAAUUAUUUCUUUGCCCCGUUUACUCAUCCCUUGUCCUCGGUUACACAUGGAACAGAAGAGGCUGUGGAGUGCAGGAACUACACUGCAAGCUGGUAGAUAUGCAGGUAUUCCUGGGUCCUGCAGACUAUCACCUAAAAACAAUAAACAAAAUGAUUUUCUAAACUGUAGCAAUGUAAUGUACGUAUAGUGUCAAAUACAUUGUUGUAGUCUUCAUUAGCUUUCAUUCACAUGGAAGUGUUCCUAAAGUCAUAUGCUGUAAUGAUAUUUCCAUUAUGAAAACAUGAUUUUGGACAUUUCAAGUUUUUCACUUCGGCAGAU